UACGAAGGGGGCUAGCGUUGCUCGGAAUCACUGGGCGUAAAGCGCACGUAGGCGGCUUUCUAAGUCAGGGGUGAAAUCCUGGAGCUCAACUCCAGAACUGCCUUCGAUACUGGGAGCUCGAGUCCGGGAGAGGUGAGUGGAACUGCGAGUGUAGAGGUGAAAUUCGUAGAUAUUCGCAAGAACACCAGUGGCGAAGGCGGCUCACUGGCCCGGUACUGACGCUGAGGUGCGAAAGCGUGGGGAGCAAACAGGG
rnacentral:rRNA from 1 species